rnacentral:lncRNA from 10 species
AUUGGCCAGGCUGGUCUCGAACUCCUGAUCUCGUGAUCUGCCUGCCUCGGCCUCCCAAACUGCUAGGAUUAGAGGUGUGAGCCACCGCAUCCAGCCGACCCCAGGUUUUUAAGACCCCAAUUCCUCUUUGGCCCAACAUCUCCACACCGGAGCAAGAAGGAAAGCAAGCCCACACUCCAGGGACUAGCCAGCAGAGUGGGUGGAGGCUGCUCAGCAAAUGCGCACACCCCCACCUCAGUGACCAACCCACUGGACUUGCCUUCACAGUGGCCCUGUGCGGCUUCAGGCUCCUCCCACCCCAAGUCUCUAAGAUAAAACACAGUAUCUCCCCAAGCCCCUUGGGGAGAGUAAAAGUGGAGAAACAUCUUGGAGCCUAGGAGAGGCUGGAAGAGGGUGGUUGGGGAGCUGCCCAUGGUGGGAGGAUUCCCAGGACACAUGGGUAGCAAUUAGCCUGUUGUCCUCAGCCCUCACUAGACCUAGGUUGGGAGGUCCUAGACCCUCUCCUAGGCCCCCGUGCACCUGGAUUCAGUUGGAUCUUGGGAAAGGAAGGGUUAAGGUUGGGGCCUAAUCAGGGACUGGAAUGCCAUUGAUAUGGAAAAGUGGGGG